AUCUUUAGGAUAUCAAAUCUUGUCAUUUGGUAUGAUAAGAAACAAGCUUUGUGCUAUAUUUAUUUCUAUUUCAUAAAAGAAAUGUGUGAGAAUCGUACAGGAACAAGUUGUCUGUACAAGCCCGCCAAGCUGUUUCGGGGCCUCAUGCUUGUGAAGUGCUUAGAUAGUUGAUUUAGAUACAUUGUUUUGAUUCGACUUCUCUUUUUUAAUUUAUUUAAAUAAUUAACAAAAUGCAAUGUUUUUACACGAUGAACUGUUAAACAUCAUGUAUGUAUGUAUGUUAUCAGUGCAGAGCAAGUCUUUACGGGGCCUCCUGGAUGUAAACAUUCACGAGAGGCAUUGUGGGAAGGCCAGAGAAUGGCGAAAUCAAAUUGUGAUGUGUACAUUUUAUCACCGUAUGUAGACAUGUAUAUUCAUUGUACAGCUACGAGCACAUGAACUGCCCUCGAUUACGCACUUGGAGCAUUAGUCAAUACUAACGAAGGAUAUAUUGUUGUCUGAAUCGUUUACCAUGUUUCGACUACGAGAAAAUUCUGACGGUCAUAUUUGCAAUGGAUUGAUAAACACAUAAAGAUACAGUGCAGAUAUAUUUAUAAACUGUCCCCAGUGAUAUUGUAACUAGUAAGGAAAAGUUAAUGGUGACACUUUAAUGUGUGAUGGAAUUGGACGUUGCUAAAAAGAUUUGGUGCCGUUGACCACCCCUGGACUUGGAGGUGAAAGUCCUCCCAGGGGCAAAUAAGAACUUGGGUUGCGUCUUCGAGGGCGAAGACAAUUUAAGGAGGGAGGAAUGUAAUGGUUCUGGCCGUGGAUAUCGGCCUGGGUAGCUCAGUCGGUAGAGCACCUGACUAGUGAUGCAGGGGUCCCGGGUUCGAUUCCCGGUCCAGCCAUACAUUUUCUCCUUUCCUGUUACAUAUAUAUAUAGAGACAAUUUCUUUUCCUUUUUUUCUUUUUUGGCAUCUUAUUUUAGGCCUACAGUAUUAAUUUUGGGCUCAUUUACUAGGAAUAUUAUAACUUUAUUGGAAUUGUCCCACUGAAUUAAAGGGAACUCUUUUUUCAGGUGCGCAUGAUGCAACUUCCUGGAUGGUGUGUAGUCUGUUUGUCAACAUGUGAAACCCACGUGUAUUUUGAGGAGUAGCCUCCCCUGUUAAAGAUCAAUAAUGGUGGAUAAACAAUGCAGGAUGCUGUCAGGUCAUCAACAGAGAGUUUUGACACCCGUGUACCCGUAUUUCUACCAAUCACCUCUGUAACCUUUGUUGUGUUCAUCAGACAGAUGAUGGACCACUCUACUUCCUUUUACAACAGGUGCCCCUACAGAUUCACAAAGUUCCAAUGUUGAUUUUCCAUGACCCCCAUUCAUCCGCGACAGGAAAAGGAAUGAAGUUGACAGGAUUUCCCGCACUGUCCUUGGUAGCAGCUUAUGAUAGAAUGGACAGUAGUAGACAUAGCCCGCUUCAUCAAAGGUCUGCUGCAUGUUGGUAGCUGAUGCUGGUUCAAUAUUUGCGCCAAGAAGCAUACCACGCAUACCCUCUGUAGUAAGGCUGGUACCCAUGUGACCGACAGCCAUAGCCACAUUUAGUUGUGCAGCUCUGCGUCCCCUUCUGGAUCUCCCCAUCUCUUCAUACAGCUUUUCACGGCGACUUGUAUAGUGGCACUUCUUACAUCGGAUGGAAAGGAUCCAUGCCAGGCCUCGUUUUUCCUCCCCAUGCUGGUUCCAGUCCAGUGAACCAUUACAGUCUGGAAACUUCUAGCUGCCUGGUCUUCUAAGAGAAACUCCAUUCUUUGAUGACUGAUGGAAAAGCCUCAUCACUCCCUACUGCUAAAGAACCACUUAUCUUAAUCACCAGCCAUUUAUCAGUGAUCACUAUUAUCAAAGCUCCAUGGUGCACAUGAUGCAACUUCCUGGAUGUUUGUCAACAUGUGAAACCCACGUGUAUUUUGAGGUGCGACAGUAUGUCUCCAGGUUAAGUGAUUGUGUAGAUUGAUUCCCAGCAUAACGAUGAUUUGCCAAAAGAGCAUAUGAAUAGAAAAUUGGUGAUGCUUAAAAAUAUCAGCAGAAUACAGAAAUUAAGAGACACAGAUGGACAAAAACCCUCUAUCUAAUAUAAUUUACAUAUUAGGCCUAUACAACUACAACAUGUAACAAGUGAAAUUUAAAAGUAUGCAUAUAUUUACUGUAAAUGUAUUAUAUUCAGCGUGUACGAUAUUUGGCGGAAAUUGAUUUUUGAACAAGUUAGCGUGAAUUUGAUUUAGCGAAUUCUUUUUUGUUUUUUUAUUUAUGUGUAGAGUGUAAGACAUUUAGCGUUGUAUUUGAAUGAGCGGAAGUUGCUUUCCGCCAAAGGCGCUAAAAAGAAUACACAACCAAAUGUAAUACGUUUACAGUAUUAGAGCUGUUUUAAUGUAUACAAUUGUGUAUACAUGGUUGCUUGUUUGUUGACUCAAUGUAUAGAACAUGUACUACUAUAAUGUACAUCUUUCAUGUGUUAUUUCAAUGUGAUGUUGAAUCACAUUUAAAAUACAGCAAAGCUUUUACAGGUGAAUCCUGUUGUUGUUUUUUUUAAUUAUGUACAGUUUUGAUUCCCAACAGAUCAAAAAAUAAACAUAGAGAAUUCUUCA